UACAUUAAAGACAGCAGAAUAGCAGAAGAAGCUUAAGGACACAUCAAGGACUCCUUCAUUUCUUAUCAAGUACCUUGAUAUUCAACAACAUAUCAGUCGGUGGGCAAGAGGCCUCUGUCUGGUGACGAUCUGAAGAUAUGAUAAUGCUGGCAGUUUGGACAGAAGUUGCUAGAAAUAAUGUAGGAACCAUGGAAAAUACUGCUGCUAAAUGCUGUUAUGGAAAGUCGUCAUAUUCGGUAUGAUUUUUAAAUUUCAUACAACACUCAGAAGUCAUAUGUUUGAGCUACUCUGUGACAUUUAAUCAUUAAUAGAAGAUUUGGGGUAUACACUACAGAUGGGCCCUGUUUGCUGAAAUGUUGGGGCCAAACAACUUGAUAGAGCCUAUGAUGUUCCUUUCAAGCUUUCUAAAGUUUCCACCAACCUCAGAUGAAAAUGUAACUGUGAGAAGUAAAUUUAACAACAUUGUUGUCUGCAUAUGUGUGCCAAAAUGGAAGACAGAAUCAUGAAAAAGAAGCUUAUUUUAUAACCAUGGUGGUGGCUCAUGUUUGAGUAGUAAUGACCUAAGCCCCAAAGGCCAAAAGUAAAACCUCCUACCCCAAACCCGCCUGUAACUGUCUGACCAGUUCCCGGAUGCAGUCAAGACGUCUACCUUACACAACAGAACUGGCAAGAAAAACAUCCCCAGGAAGCGGUCAGACACCUGGCACAAAGGACCCUACAACUCUUUUCUUUUUCCUUCACCUUGACCCAGUUCUACACCCUAUAAAACCUUGCUAUAGCCUGUAAGCGGGGCUGCCUCCUCUGCUUUUGUCAGGAGGUAGCCCGGCAGGACUGACAAUAAAUCAGCUUGC
rnacentral:lncRNA from 1 species